rnacentral:rRNA from 1 species
UGGGGAAUUUUGGACAAUGGGCGAAAGCCUGAUCCAGCAAUGCCGCGUGUGUGAAGAAGGCCUUCGGGUUGUAAAGCACUUUUGUCCGGAAAGAAAUCCUUGGCUCUAAUACAGUCGGGGGAUGACGGUACCGGAAGAAUAAGCACCGGCUAACUACGUGCCAGCAGCCGCGGUAAUACGUAGGGUGCAAGCGUUAAUCGGAAUUACUGGGCGUAAAGCGUGCGCAGGCGGUUUGCUAAGACCGAUGUGAAAUCCCCGGGCUCAACCUGGGAACUGCAUUGGUGACUGGCAGGCUAGAGUAUGGCAGAGGGGGGUAGAAUUCCACGUGUAGCAGUGAAAGUGCGUAGAGAUGUGGAGGAAUACCGAUGGCGAAGGCAGCCCCCUGGGCCAAUACUGACGCUCAUGCACGAAAGCGUGGGGGAGCAAACAGGAUUAGAUACCCUGGUAGUCCACGCCCUAAACGAUGUCAACUAGUUGUUGGGGAUUCAUUUCCUUAGUAACGUAGCUAACGCGUGAAGUUGACCGCCUGGGGAGUACGGUCGCAAGAUUAAAACUUAAAUGAAUUGACGGGGUCAUAGCUG